GAUCCUGGCUCAGAUUGAACGCUGGCGGCAGGCCUAACACAUGCAAGUCGAAUGGUAACAGGAAACAGCUUGCUGUUUCGCUGACGAGUGGCGGACGGGUGAGUAAUGUCUGGGAAACUGCCUGAUGAGGGGGAUAACUACUGGAAACGGUAGCUAAUACCGCAUAACGUCGCAAGACCAAAGAGGGGGACCUUCGGGCCUCUUGCCAUCAGAUGUGCCCAGAUGGGAUUAGCUAGUAGGUGGGGUAACGGCUCACCUAGGCGACGAUCCCUAGCUGGUCUGAGAGGAUGACCAGCCACACUGGAACUGAGACACGGUCCAGACUCCUACGGGAGGCAGCAGUGGGGAAUAUUGCACAAUGGGCGCAAGCCUGAUGCAGCCAUGCCGCGUGUAUGAAGAAGGCCUUCGGGUUGUAAAGUACUUUCAGCGGGGAGGAAGGGAGUAAAGUUAAUACCUUUGCUCAUUGACGUUACCCGCAGAAGAAGCACCGGCUAACUCCGUG
rnacentral:rRNA from 1 species